GCCAAAAAAAAUAAAGCUGACUCUUUUUUUUCAUCCUGAAUUUAUGUUCAUCAUUGUUUAGGACCCAGAUGAAGAUGAGGAGACACGUCAGUACAGACUCAAGAUCGAAGAACAGAAGCGCCUGCGAGAAGAGAUCCUCAAGCGCAAAGAGCAGCGCAGACAGAUGCAGGCUGGUAUGCGCAAAAAAGAACUGAUGGAACGGAUAAGUGGCCAGAACCCAAACCAGACUCCACAAACUCAGAACCCCACACAGUACCCUGCAGCCCAACCCCCACAGCCGGUCCCUUCACUGAUCUCUAACGGUACCCCCCAGAACCCUUCGUCAGGUCUUAGUUCCCCUCAUCCAAAUGUGAAGGCCCGGCUGCAGAACACUAAUCCUCAGGCACAGACUUCAGGCUGGUCUGGGCCACAGAAGCAACAGAACGCUGGUCCUGAAGCCAGCCAGCAGGGCCAAUGGCAACCACAGCAGAAGAGGACCAUGACCCCACAAAACACUCAAAGACAAGGUGCUGCUCAGACCAGCCCAUCAGAAGUGCCAGUGGGUCAGCCUCAGCCUGGGGGAAAGAGAACAGUGAUGCAAAGAGCGAGCAGCAUAGAAUCACCACAGGUUCCACAGAAAGUGCGAGUAGUUAAGCUUCUAGGAGAGCAGGCAGAUGCCGGUCCCAACACUGGUCCCCCACAGCAGCAGCAACAACCAAUUGGUCGGCCUGUCCCCCAACAGAGACUUGGUCCCAUCAGGAAAGUUACCAUGGCAGCUGGUGGUGUACAAAAUCAACAACAGGCUGGCCGUGGCAUGGCAAACCAAAUGAACCGGGUGGUAGUUCGGGGUCGAGCACGUGGCCGUGGUGGGGGGCGUGUGAUGCAGCAGAACCCAAGAGCUCAGGAUUGUCAGAGAAGCACCGUCUGCAUUGAAGGUUUAUCCACCACCACAACCAACAAACAGCUCAUGAACCUUCUCAACUCCAUUGGCCCUGUUGAGAUGUUUACAAUGUUGCCGGAGCAGCGGAAGGCCAUUGCCAAGUUUGUGAACCCACAGCAUGCAGUGAGUUUUCAGCACAGCUUUCACAGGCACAUGAUAGAUUUGUCUCACAUCGAUGUUUCCGUUAUUGAUGGCUGAGGAACAAGUCAGUUCAACAGACCAGACGAUGAGAAGUGAGCAAGAAGAGAACGUCUUUUUCUGAAAGACAGACGCACAAUCAGAAGGCUAAAGCUUUGGAAUCUGUGUGGAGAGUGCUGUCGACAAACUCAAGCCACAUGCAUGAAGGAAUCAAAAACAUGCUGGAAAUGGCACAGCAUUGAACUCAUGUCGUGAAUGACUUUGGCAUGAAGUCUCGCACUUGUUUCUGUACUUUCAUUUAUAUGGAGUAAUCAGUAAUGGUCUAAACCAGCAGGUGAAAAGAGACAGAGGUAUGAAACAAGACAUUUUUAUGCCAGUUGAUAAUAGUUGCUCCCAUCCUCUAGCUCUCAACGUAAUUAGAAAAAAUCUUUUGAAUGGCUGUUUUUGGUCAAAUAGGAUUUCCAGAAUGUUUUUUUUUUUUUUUUGUGGAAUUUCCACAGUCAUUGACUUGAACAAAGUUAAGCAGGUGGUUUGGCCUGAUUGAAUAGUAAUGUGUAUGCUGCAGUUGUUUUUGUCACCUGUAGAGGGCAGCAGAUGCCUUCGGUAUGGCGCUCUGUAUGUUGGGGUAUAGCUAGUUAAGCAGGUGGUUUGGCCUGAUUGAAUAGUAAUGUGUAUGCUGCAGUUGUUUUUGUCACCUGUAGAGGGUAGCAGAUGCCUUCGGUAUGGCGCUCUGUAUGUUGGGGUAUAGCUAAGGGCAUGUGGACAUCAGAGUGUGUAGCACCGCUUGGUAGAGAUGUUGAAGUGCUGGUUUGGGUUGAGCUUUUUUUCUAGUUAUGUAUUUUUUGGAAGCCACUGUGAUAUUGCAGGGGUCUCUUUUUUUUCUAUGACUAUUCAUGAUCUUAAGUUUAUUCAUGGUCCCUUUCACCAUUGUAAUUGUAUUGCAGUUGGGUUUUGUUCUGCAGAGCUGGAGUGGUGGUUCAUGACGUGUGUCUUUGUGACCUAAAGACAGCUGAAAAACGAUUUGACAAUAAAUGGCUUUUAUACUUUGAUUUUAAGUUUUGG
ensembl:lncRNA